GGAGCUCCGCGGCUUGGAUCGGCUGAGAUCAGCAACAGCAACAGCAACAACAGCAACAACAUCCUCAUCCGUUCUCUUGGAAGGAGGAGCUGGGGACGCUUCAGGAGAAGCUGCAGUUCUGCUUCGGUCUCUGCCAGGUGACUUGCUGUACUUCCCAAGAGGGACUAUUCACUGAGCUGACACUCCUGCUGGGAUCUCCUAUUGUACACAAGUGACCAUCAGUACCUACCAAAACAAAGGUCGGCUUUAAGCUCAACCCACCGGUGGAUGGCAAGUGCCUGAAUGAGAACAAACCGGACCUUUGUCAAGCCAGUCCCUUCCCUCUGUGCCACUGAACUGGAGCUAGUGAGAAUGCACAUACAGUUUAGAGUGAGCUACUGCGUGGGGCUGCAGAGUGGUAAUGGAAGGGCUAAAGGCAUGAA